GAAUUGCAUAGCCCUGAAAUCCUUGCCAGAGUCAUUGAUGUACAACAGCACUCGUCUUAAGUUGAUUCGAAUUGUAAAAUGUGAUUUGCUAAAGCAUAUUGCAAGACGCCAGCUACCUCCAACUCUAGAGCGGAUAGAGGUAAGUGAAUGCAAGGACCUGCAGUAUUUGCUGGACGAUAUUGCUGAUACCAGUAGUAGCAGCAACACCACAUCUCAUCUUCAGUACUUGAAAAUUCAGCGAUGUCCAUCUCUCGAAUCCUUGACAAGCAGCGGAGAAUUACCUGCAUCACUCAAACACGUUGAUUUGUUGAAGUGUAAAAAGCUAAAGUCAGUAGCGGACAGGUUACAUCAUUACUCGUGUCUUGAAUGCAUUGUCAUCGUAUGUUGUGAAAACCUUGAAUACUUACCCAGAGACGUACACACUCUCAGCACUCUUCGUGAAAUUGAUAUUACGGAUUGUCCGAGUCGUAGUUUCUCCUUGGGCGAAGAGUGGCUCCCUGCCAACCUGAGAGCGCUUCAUGUAUCUGGCUGUAAGAAAAUGCUGGCCCUACCCAAAGGUAUACACAACCAUACCUCUCUUCAAAGUUUGACACUACACCAUUGUCCAGACGAUGUAUCCUUUCCGGGAGAAGGUUUUCCCACCAACCUAAAAUUACUUUCUAUAUCUCAUCUCAAAAUCAUUGAUGCCUUGUUGGAAUGGGGGUUGAACAAACUUACCUCUCUUAAUAAACUUGAAAUUAGUGGAUGUCCACAUCUGGUGUCCUUUUCAGAUCAGAUGAAGUUGCCUAAAUCUCUGUCAAGUCUCACCAUAUCACACUUUACGAAUCUGCGAAGCCUAUCUUCUGAGGGCCUUCAAAACCUCACAUCUCUUAAUGAACUUAUUAUCUUUUGAGUGCGGAAAGUUGACUUCCUUUCAAAAGAAUGGCCUACCUCCCUCACUCUCGAAACUUUAUAUUAGUAGGUGCGAAAAGCUCUUGUCCUUUCCAAAGAAACCCCUGCCGGCCUCACUGUUGCAACUUUAUAUAUAUCAAUGUCCUCUAUUAGAAAAACACUGUAAGAAAGGUGGAGAAGAGUGGUGGAAGAUAUCUCAUGUCCCUUGCGUUAGAUUCAAUUCAUAUCAUUGAUUGUCAUGAUCUCCAUCGAAUGUGGUUAUUGAAGAGAUCCGGUUGCUGGUAUUUAUCAAGUCUGGAUAGUUUUGCACAAAAGUGGGAGCAUAUAUGCACAUAUAGUCAUCACACCCUCAGUUUUAAAUGAUGAAGAUAAUCCUCCUCGACACGAUAUUGAUGAUCUCCUUUGUCCCGGUCUGGUAAAGGGAUUAUGCCAGCACAGCAUUCUUGGGAAUGAACUGAUCAAGAAAAUGAAUAUGAAUUAGAGCCAAGGCAUCUCGUAUCUCCUCACUUCUUGGAUUUUACCGCAUAGAGAUUGAGUCCGACUCCCAACUUCUUGUAAACUGGAUUACUAGAGGGAGCUGCAACAUUUGGUAUUUAGAAGAGUUCUGGGACGAGCUUCAAGACAAUCUUUCUAAUAUGGAGUAUACGAUGAAACAUGUUUUUCGAGAAAGAAAUGCAGUGGCUGAUUUUCUUGCUAAGCAGGGAGCUGGGGGAUUUAACGCGGAUUGGUUUGAUGCUCAUGAUCUUCUGCCCAGCCCUCUUCGGGGACUCCUUCGCAUGAAUAGACUUGGUCUUCCUUACCUGCGAACCAUGUAGUGCUCUCCCAGGUUUGUCUUUCUUUUUAGCUCUUUGUUUUACCCUCUGGUUUUUCUGUGCUUUUUUCUUGCAGGUUCUUGAUCGUGUUUCGCCCUUUAGUUUGUGCUUUGGUCUGUCCUAUAAUGUUUAUUUGGCCAUUAUAGUUUUUGAUGCCUGGGUUUUGGACUUAUUGUGUAUUUGUAACCCUCAGGCGUCGGGUUGUUACCACGGUUUUCCUCCGCCAAAAGUGAGGGCUUAUUAAUAAAAUUGGGGUACCGUUCUCUUUCCAAAAAAAAAAAAAAAAAAGUAUCUCCUCACUUCCUAUAUAUCCACUUCCGUUUUGAUCAAAAAAUUCAAAGGCUUUGCGAACGUACCCAUCAUCC